rnacentral:rRNA from 1 species
AUUGAACGCUGGCGGCAUGCUUUACACAUGCAAGUCGAACGGCAGCACGGGGGCAACCCUGGUGGCGAGUGGCGAACGGGUGAGUAAUAUAUCGGAACAUGUCCGGAAGUGGGGGAUAACGUAGCGAAAGUUACGCUAAUACCGCAUAUGCCCUGAGGGGGAAAGGAGGGGAUCGCAAGACCUUUCGCUUUCGGAGUGGCCGAUAUCAGAUUAGCUAGUUGGUGGGGUAAAGGCCUACCAAGGCGACGAUCUGUAGCUGGUCUGAGAGGACGACCAGCCACACUGGGACUGAGACACGGCCCAGACUCCUACGGGAGGCAGCAGUGGGGAAUUUUGGACAAUGGGCGCAAGCCUGAUCCAGCCAUGCCGCGUGAGUGAAGAAGGCCUUCGGGUUGUAAAGCUCUUUCGGACAGAAAGAAAUCGCCAUUCCUAAUACGAGUGGUGGAUGACGGUACUGUAAGAAGAAGCACCGGCUAACUACGUGCCAGCCGCCGCCGUAACAC